UACGUAGGGUGCAAGCGUUGUCCGGAAUUAUUGGGCGUAAAGAGCUCGUAGGCGGUCUGUCGCGUCGGAUGUGAAAAUCCAGGGCUCAACCCUGGACCUGCAUUCGAUACGGGCAGACUAGAGUUCGGUAGGGGAGACUGGAAUUCCUGGUGUAGCGGUGAAAUGCGCAGAUAUCAGGAGGAACACCGGUGGCGAAGGCGGGUCUCAGGGCCGAAACUGACGCUGAGGAGCGAAAGCGUGGGGAGCAAACAGG
rnacentral:rRNA from 1 species